UGGCACUAUCUGUCAGAAGACAAUGUAUAUCCUUAAAACGAAAUGCUAACCUUAUACGUACACCAUAUCUUAUAGUAAAGUAAUAUACUGUCUUGUGUUUGUAGAAUUCUAAUGAUGACCCGCCUCAGUGUAGCCCUCCAUACUACAGUGCCAGUAUCUAUUCCACGCUGAGGGAGUGGGGAUACUGACUGUCAACUGUGAGAUGUGGACACGCCCCGACAGCCCCUCACCUACAGCAUUGUGGGAGGGAACACUAACCGCAGAUUUACCAUGGAUGGAGCACAGCUGGUGUCCAGUGCCCAGUUCUCCUAUGGCACCCCAUGGUUUAUGAGCUGCUGGUCAGGGUUCAGGACCAUGGCAUGUCUGUAUGCUCCACUACUGCUACUGUCAUUGCCAAUGUGGUUCCCUGGACCACAACUCGACCAACAUCCAUCACCACCACCACGAUCAAGUGAUGAUGGGAAAGGUGACCUCGGACAAGCAGAGGAGGCAGAGGAGAAGCCCAACAUACCCUCAGAGAAGGACCCCGAGGAGGAGGAAGCUCUAGAGGAGAACCCCUUUACCACGUUUAGUCUGACAACGUCUAACUGUCUACCCGUCAGUGAUAACACUUCACCAACCAUGAAAAAUACUUUUGCAGGUCUCACCUUCAGGAAAGAGGUCUUCUGACACAAAAUAAGAAUGUGUCAUAGCACACACAAUCUGACGUUUGAUUGAUUGUAAAUGUGAGGCCACGGUUCCAAGCAUCUCACUGCCUGGCAGUAAUGAUGUCACUUUAUUGAUUUACUGACGGAUUUACUCAUCGAAAUGGAAAGAUAAUUCCUUUUAAGUCUAUGGAUUUACUGGUUAUGACUGAAUGACUAAGACAAUUAUUUUUGUCAUUCACGCUCAGCGGUUCAACAGCAGAGCUCACGAUCCAGGUGAUGAUUUGUCUUUAGAUUCCGUUAGCCUGGUCCCAGAUCUGUUUGUGCUGUCAUGCCAACUCCUAUGGUCAUUGUCGUGUGACAGCAUAAAAAGAUCUGGGACCAGGCUAAUAGCUACACCCUUUCUCUUUAUAUGUCUCUGAGGUACCAUCUCUAACAUUGUCUUUCUUUCCUGUCUGUUUGCUUGUUAUUUGCUCAGACACUGGGAGAGCAGACCUCUUUAUCUCAAUCUCUUCGUUCAAAGACUCAAUCAUGGACACUCUUACUGACAGUUGUGGCUGCUUCGCAUGAUGUAUUAUUGUCUCUACCUUCUUGCCUUUGUGCUGUUGUCUGUGCCCAAUAAUGUGUGUACCAUGUUUUGUGUUGCUACCAUGUUUUUGUCAUGAUGUGUUGCUACCAUGGUGUGUUUUCAUGUGUUGCUGCCAUGCAAUGUUGUUGGCUUAAGGUCUCUCUUUAUGUAGUGUUGUGGUGUCUCUCUUGUCGUGAUGUGUGUCUUAUAUUUUUAUAAAAAAAUUAUUUUUAAUCCCAGCCCCCGUCCCAGGAGGCCUUUUGCCUUUUGGUAGGCAGUCAUUGUAAACAAGAAUUUGUUCUUAACUGAACUGACUUGUCUAGUUAAAUAAAGGUUGAAUAAAAAAUGUAAAAAACAACGAGACGACGGAGAGAUGCUGGCUGGGAUGAGAACAGAUGCAUAAACAGAAACCAGGACGAUGUGUGACUGUUUGUGUGUGUAUCCUAUCAUUAUCACUGAUUAAUGAAGAUAAUUACUACCCAAGAGAACCUGCUGAGAAUGUUCUGUGAAGAACGCUGUAUUCAGGGGAGCUCAUCGUCAACCACCAGAGGCCAGCAGAGAGCUAAUUGAAACAGUCACAGACAUUGAAUCAGCCAGCAGCCCUAAAUAUGUCCACAUGAAUUACACUAACUUUAGUAAG
rnacentral:lncRNA from 8 species